UAAAAGUAUAAGUCUUAAGCAUAGGUCUCAGACACUUAUGCAGCUUUACGUUUUUCUUCCUGAGUUAGCUAGCUAAUCUGCUAAAAUCGUUUUUUAGUUGACACCAUCCAGUAUAAACGAGAAUAUGUCCAACUCCAUUGACCACGAAGAAGGCAACAUGGAGCUUUCUUUAUCCAAAGCUAUGGAGGAUGUCAGUCACCAUAGCUUUGCCCAGGAGGAGGCCCUCAAGGAGAAGCAGAGAACCUUCAGCUCCCUGCAGGCAACUCUGUUAGACCUUGAGAAAAAAUGUGACGCUGCAGAGCAGGAACUGGGCUCUAGAGAAAGGGAAAUCCUGAUACUUGAAGGUGAGGCGGUGCGCCUGAACAGGCAGGCGACCGCUCUAUACGAACGCAGUGAAUCCGUCAACCGGGAAAUCACGGAGCUCCAGAUUCAAAUAUGUAACGCGGAAGAGGACGCUCAUCUGGCGGUGGCCAGAUUUAACAGUUACAGAAACAAGAUGGAGUGCCACCGGGAAGCUGUUUUCAGUGCUGCAAGGUGUACAGAGGCCCAGGAGGAGUUUGAGAGGAGGAAGGAAAUGAUCUGGAGUCUGAGGGAAAAGAGGGACCAGCUGAGGGAGGAUUUGAAGGAUCCAAAUGGAAACAUAGUACUGAUGGCAAAGAAAGAGACGGAUGCUUUGAGGAGGGAGGUCUCCGAGAGGAGGAUGACUGCAGCUGAGAUGAGAGAACACCUGAAGCAAGAGCAGGAAACCCAUGAUAACUUGAAGAAAGACAUAGAAAUCCAAAACAGGCGCCAUGAAGCCAUUGUUAAACGCCUCCGCUGCCAACUGAGCAGAGCUCAGGCCAUUCACAGGCACAUGUCAGGUGAAAUCCACCACCUGCAGAACCACCUAACUGAGAUGAGGAGUCAGCAGCCAUCAUCACAGGACUCAGAAGUCCUUUAGAUGUCACAAACUUUGUGAUUUGAAUCAGUUUUGUUAUGAUAGUUUUGCAGUUUUUGUUAGUUUAGCAAGAAUUUGUUGUUGCUGUUGUUACUACUGUUGGACACCUGGGGGCGACAUUUCCCACCAAAUGUGUGGCUUUUGUUUCACUCAACAGAUAUAAACAAGAAGGUCAGGUGAAGACAGUGAAUCCUUUCUUGCACAGCAGAGGCAAAACAAAAAAGUCGAUGAGGAGCUGCUCCACUCGGAACAGAUUGUUCCAGCUUCUGCUCGGCUGGGCAAUCCAACGGUUCGGAGAUGACAGUCCCACCGUCGGCUAACGAGGGCGUGACUGUGCCUGUUCACCCAUACCUCAAACCAAUUAAACAAUGAAAUGAGUCCACAUCAGAUUCCAGCAGCCUCAGAGAGGAGCUGUAACCAAUACAUGCUCUUCAUUUGCAUAGUCUUGCUGCAUGAGUUGAUGACUGUGUGAUAGUUGGGGAAAAAAGCCAAACGAAAGUUGUUAAAGUCAGAAUUAGUCAUUACUAAAACUAAUUGGGAACAAUUCUCACGCUGAAAAAUACUUUUCACUUACAUGUUUUAAGUUUUUUUUUUUUUUUUUAAAUAAAACCAAAGAAAAUAAGAGUGCUUUGUCCAGGAAAUAAGCCAAGUACCGAAAAACAAAAAUGUGACGGCUUAAAAUAAUCAUGGCUCAUAUUAUAGUUUUUUUCUGAAUCUGGAGAUGAAGGAGUGACACAGCACUAUGAGCUAAGUGCUUGACUCUCAACCGCACUUUAGUUUAUCUUUGAAAUGAGCUGUGGGAGUUUAAUUAGCCGGUCUGUGUCUGCUGUUUGUCUGACUAUAGGCUCUUAAAGACUCACUGCAGGCGCAAAAAUGUUGUCUGCAAGG